GCCACCUCAUUCAUCCUACUUUCACUAUAUCUGAUUCAUUGUAUAAUUUAUAAAGUUCGUGGUUAUAUCUAAACCUCCAUAUACCAUUUUCCUUAAUUGGGUCAUAUUGUUUCUUAAUAUCCUUCUUUCAAAGUUUUGGAGCAUAUUUCAAAUUUAUCCUUGUGAGCCGCAAGCUUUCACUUCCAUAGUUACUGAAGAACUGCACACACUACAAGCCUCUGGCCUGUUUCAACCCUUGAUGAAUGUGACUAAACCUCAUCACCUCCGCCAUGCACCAAACAGGAUUUGUUCUUGUAAUACGAUGUCACUGAUGUUCCAGUCAUCACUAGACAGAGCACCAGCACCGUUCAUAAUACAGCGCACCACCACCGUGUGGUCAUACAACAGUGAAGGCAGCAGCUGCAAAAAGUGAAUCAAAUUCGAGUGAUGUCACAGCCAUGCCAAGUACUUCCAGAACUUCGGUUGUAUCUGGGCCAGAUUAUCAGCUAUCCCAACUGAGGUCUUCCAUUAACUUUCUCAGAAUAAUAUUUGCAAAUGGGGUGUGACUGUCUACUUCCAAAACCUUACCUACUCAGCACACACAAUUAUUUUACCUUA